UUAGUUCAAAUUGAAGAAAUAAAAUAACAAAUUAAUUACACUUAAUUUUUAAUAAUAAUAGUAAUAAUAAUAAUAAUAAUAAUAAUAAUAAUAAUAAUAAUAAUAAUAACAACAACAACUAUGUAGAUAUUAAAAAAUAAUACAUUUCAAAAAAGUAAAACUUCAACUAAAAUUAAAAUGAAAAUUUAGAUUGCAAAUAUAAAUAUAUAACAUGCACAAAUACACAAACUGUUCUUUGGAAAAUAAUUCAACAGAUCUUAUGGAUCUGCAUAAUAAUCUCAAGCAUCAGAUUUAUGUCCAUCGCGUGCAGAGAGGGCAGAGAUAUGACUUAUCAACAUAGUAAUUAUUUCUGCACUGGCAUGAAUUCUGUUUUUCUUGCGUUUCUUCUCUCGUUAUUUCUGUCUAGCUUUUGUUUAAAGGAACUUGCGUGACAUUGAGCAGAGAGAGGAGGAGGAAGAAAAAUCCCCUUUUGGCAAGAUGCUGCUACAUGCUGAAUUUUCCCUGCUGCUAGUAAUAUCUGAAGUUCUUCCUGCCCUCAUAGUAUUGUUUCAGGGAAGAAUUUGUAUAAUUUCCUCUGGACUUCUGGUUGUCAUCAUUAAUAUAUCAUUCUUUUAUGGUGGUUUAUGGUACUGUCAUGCGCUGGGAUUAUGAGUGUGGUACCACACCAACAGCCUGUAAGAACAAUGCUAGGUGAAACUGUUGAAAACAUGCAGCCUGUCUCUACUGUGGAGUCGCCGGCUUUCAGUCAGCUCCUUAGCAUGAGAACAUAGAUUUCAUUUUUAAACAGCAUUUAUAUAUGUAUGUAUAUGUAUGAAUGUAUUUUUUUAUCGAAAUUGAUUCUGAAUAAUUCAGAUUGCUUUCAUUUAUUUAUUUCAAAAUGUUCUGUGUUAUGUUGUCCCUUGUUGAUAGUUUUCAUACUUAAGCUGUGAAAGGAAAAUUUUUAAGGGCUCAACACAACAGCUCUUAUGAUGCAGAAGCCACUUUAGUUUUUUAUUCUGAAUAUAUUAUUCAGGUGUUUUGUUAUUUAUUUCAGAAAUCCUUGUGAUAUACAAUAUUCAGUUUGUGCUGGUCUGACUUAAUCAAAAUGUGUUUAAAAAUUACUUUCUGUUCUACUUUGUGUUUGUGUAGACCAUAACGCAUAAAAGCGCAUUCAUGGGAAUAUUAAAGAAAGUUCUUUAAAAAAAAGUUACAGUAAUGCAUUACUUUUUGGUGUAAGUAAUCAAUAAAGUAAUUUAGUUACUUUUUGAAUUAAGUAACUAGUAACUGUAACUAAUUACUAUUUCAGAGUUUUUUUAAUGAAAUGCACAGAUUAAUUUAUAAAAUAGAAACCAAAUUUUACACAUUUGGCUGUCAUUUAAAUCUAUUCUGCAAGUUUCCCUUCAAAAUCAUAUGAAAAAUGUGAAGAAAGUGCAGUGAUGUGUCUGAGUUCUUUAUUUGUGAAUGUGAGAUUGACACACAGGCACUAAUGAGUAUUCGGCUUCACUGGCUGUAAAAUCUUCCUUAUGUCCCACUGAGCUGUUAAGGAAACAUGAAUCUCCUCUAACAGCAGGAGCCAGACUGCUCAAGCAAGACCAUCUCACACUGUUGCCAUAACACGGUAGGAAUGUCACCAGACACCAGCACUUAGACUGGAAUCGGUGAAUAUGAACCUUACAGUAGAUAUCAAAGUUGAUUCACAGAUAUGCACUGGAGGACAAUGACCUUCAUCUAACCCGCUGAAAAUGUUCUGCAGGAUGUGGAAGAGUGAUGAAAUCACUUUUGGAGAUUUAGGUAAGACACUGAUGAUUUGUGUUUAUGUGUAUAUGGUAAAUAUGAUGAAAGAAGCCUGUGAAAAUAAAUCUGCAGUUUUUUUUUUUGUUUUUUUUGUUUUUUUUGCACUGAAGUAAAUUGGUAGGGAAGGGAAAUCUCCUUGUGUUUUUGAUUUAUUUAUUUUUUUUAUACACAAAAAUGUCUACAAUUAAUGGCACACUUUUGUUCAGUAUCUUUUGCAACCUAAUUUUGCCAAGACAACAGCUCUGAGUCUUCACCCUUAAUGUCUGAUGAGUUUGGAGAACACCUGACAAGAGAUCACAGUAUCUGUCCAGAACCUCCAUGCUGACACACACUGCUCUCCAGUUUUCUAUAGGGUUCAGAUCAGAGGACUGGGAUGACCAUGGCAGAACCUUCAUUUUGGUCAAUUUUUCUUUUGAGUUUGAUGGUCUUUUGUAUCAUUGUCCUGUUGGAAGAUACAAGCAAGGCCCAAUGUAAGAUUUCUAGCAGAGUCAGUCAAGUUUAGAUUUUUGUAUCUGUUGAAUAUGAUGCCAUCUAUCUGAACAAGAUGUCCUGGACAUUCAGCAGAAAAGUAUGCCAACAACUUAAAGACACAGCAGUAUAUUUCAUAGUUCACAUUGAGAACUUUUUUUUUUUUUAAUCUCUGUGAGUAUCAAACCCACCUUGACUGCAAAAAGAGCUAACUUUUUUUAGGUACAUCUGACUAUAAAACCCAGUCCUGUUUGAAGGUCCAGUAGUGUGUGGCAACUGAAUAUUCUUUUUUUUUUUUUUUUUGUUCUUCAAAGCCUCCCAAACAACUUGUGGUGAUGUAGGUGGUGUUUGAUUUAGAAGAUUUCAAUGCUUUAAUUAAUAUUAUUAUAAAUUAUAUUUUAAUUUAGUUAAAUUAUAUAUUUUUUUUAGUUUGUAUUUUAUGAAGGUCAACAAUAUGUUGCUGCAUAUCAGAACUAUAUUAUUUGGUUUUACUCCUUGUGACAGAUGAUUAAGGGAAUUUGGCUUUGUGUACAUCAUAUUUAUACUCAUGUGAAGCAGAAAGUCAUGGCUAGAUAAUUUCAUGUUUCUAUUCACCCUGGUGUGCUAACAAAUGGAAAUAUGAAUGGAAAUAUAGAUCUUCAGAGAUUUUAUUUCUAGGGGUAGAAAUAAUUGUGGCCGAAAUGUAUUAGAGAAAGAAAAUUACAUUUUAAAAUACUUCACAGGAAUAAAUAUAAUUUUAAAUUCUAUUAAAAUAGAAAAGUUAUUCGAAAGUUUAUCAAUAUUUCCCGAUAUUACUGUCUCUAAUGUAUUUUUAUAAAAUAAAGUAAAAUAAAAUAAAUAAAUAAAACAGGGUUUUUUUUCCCGUGAUUUUUUACAAAUAUUGUUAUUUUUAUAUCACUUGUCAACCGCAGUUAGUGUUGAAGCAGUCAUGUCAGGGAGAUGCUGUGUGUUUUUAGGUGAAAGCAAAAGCACUUUAUUUGGCUUUCCGAAAGUAGAUGCAUUUAGGAAUCUUUAAGAUUACUUACCACAGAAUAGCAACGCAUUUUAUGGACAACCAUUUGGUGAACCUAGG
ensembl:lncRNA